rnacentral:rRNA from 1 species
AUUGAACGCUGGCGGCAGGCCUAACACAUGCAAGUCGAGCGGAUGAAGGGAGCUUGCUCCUGGAUUCAGCGGCGGACGGGUGAGUAAUGCCUAGGAAUCUGCCGGGUAGUGGGGGAUAACGUCCGGAAACGGGCGCUAAUACCGCAGACGUCCUGAGGGAGAAAGUGGGGGAUCUUCGGACCGCACGCUAUCAGAUGAGCCUAGGUCGGAUUAGCUAGUUGGUGGGGUAAAGGCCUCCCAAGGCGACGAUCCGUAACUGGUCUGAGAGGAUGAUCAGUCACACUGGAACUGAGACACGGUCCAGACUCCUACGGGAGGCAGCAGUGUGGAAUAUUGGACAAUGGGCGAAAGCCUGAUCCAGCCAUGCCGCGUGUGUGAAGAAGGUCUUCGGAUUGUAAAGCACUUUUAGUUGGGAGGAAGGGCAGUAAGUUAAUACCUUGCUGUUUUGACGUUACCAACAGAAUAAGCACCGGCUAACUUCGUG